GGCAGCACAUUGGUAGUAAUACCAUGGGUGGCGAGUGGCGGACGGGUGAGGAAUACAUCGGAAUCUACCUUAUCGUGGGGGAUAACGUAGGGAAACUUACGCUAAUACCGCAUACGACCUACGGGUGAAAGCAGGGGACCUUAGGGCCUUGUGCGAUUGGAUGAGCCGAUGUCCGAUUAGCUAGUUGGUGAGGUAAAGGCUCACCAAGGCGACGAUCGGUAGCUGGUCUGAGAGGAUGAUCAGCCACACUGGAACUGAGACACGGUCCAGACUCCUACGGGAGGCAGCAGUGGGGAAUAUUGGACAAUGGGCGCAAGCCUGAUCCAGCUAUGCCGCGUGGGUGAAGAAUGCCUUCGGGUUGUAAAGCCCUUUUGUUGGGGAAG
rnacentral:misc_RNA from 2 species